rfam:Cordyceps militaris CM01 unplaced genomic scaffold CCM_S00011, whole genome shotgun sequence.
ACGGGUAUAAGUUAAUAGGUAGACUAUUCGAUUUCCACUCGAAAUGAGUCAGUUCAAAUCUGACUACCCGUA